UUGAGAAAAAAAUAUCCAAAAUUGUUAUGGAUCUAGAUCCAACAUAGAGGUUGGGUUGUAAAUAAGUGAAAACUCUAGUUUUACUUGUCUUUUACUAUUAUUCUGAAUUGAAAUAAAUAAAUAAA
rnacentral:sRNA from 1 species